GCACCCUUAGCUCAAUUGAAUAGAGCACAAAUCUUCUAAAUUUGCGGUUAUAGGUUUAAGUCCUAUAGGGUGUACCA
rnacentral:tRNA from 1 species